rnacentral:tRNA from 1 species
UUCCUCAUGGCCCAAUGGUCAAGGCGUCUGGCUACGAAGGUACCACUUCUGUUGAAACCAGAAGAUCCCAGGUUCGACUCCUGGUGGGGAAG